UUACAUAAUUAUUUACAAUAAAAGUAAACGAUAUCAGAUAAACUUUUUGAUUAAGAAUUUUUCGAGUGCUUGCUCCGAUUUGCAGAACAGGGACGGAUAAAGAAAUCUUUCAGAUCCGAUAUUAUGGAAAAGCAACUCGAGGCUCUGAACAUCGAUGAUUCCUUCGAAUCGGAUCAAGAAUCAUCGCGUACUAAAAUAAUCAGGACGUUCAGUUUUCCAUCCAGCCAAGUCCAUUUUUGCAAAACUUCCAAAGAAUUAAAAUUAUCCACGUUGGAUAAGCACUACAGCGAGCAAAUACUAUAUCCGAAUAUUUACGCUAGGGAGCCCGCAUUAUUGGAGAUGCAAACAAAAAGAGCAGAAUGUAUCUUUUAUAACAACAGCAAAGUUCCGGAACAUUUUUGGCAUCCGAGGAUCGAUAAUGUGCCAUCUACAUCCGCACUUACACCUGCAGACGAUCCUGUGGAAUAUAUGGAAAUAGAGAAAUAUCCAGAUUCAACGAAACAUGAUACAACAUCGUUCACACCUAUGUUAGCAGUCGAUCAAACAGAGGUUAUGGAAGUAGAAAAAUUUAUGAAACCUAGGGAUCCUGCAGAAUGUAUGGACCUAUCGAAAUCGAUCUCUAUGGAAUCAUUAUCGUUUGCUGCUGUCCAACAAGCACAUACAAAUAUGUUGAAGUCUGCCUUUGAUUUAGAAUCCAAGCCUUCGGAAACAAACGAAGAUAUUACAAAACUGAUUCCUACGAGACGAAAAUUCAGAAAGACUAGUGAGAUUCAAGAAAAUAAUCUAGAUCAUAUAAAUGAAAACAACGAAGACAAGAAACAGAAAAAUUAUCAGGAUACGAAAAAAAAAAUCCAUUCGAAAAAUGCUUCGCAAUAUUCAAAAAUCAAAACAGCACUUUGCAUCAUAUGUUUUGUAAUAAUUUUAAUAUUCGUAUUCCUGUUAUCUUUGCAUGAAGAUCAGGAUGAUAAGCACAGCAAUACUUUUACGACUGCCAUUGUAGAAUUAAAAAAAGAGAUUUUCGGUCAAGAUCGAGCUGUACAAAUCUUGAUUAAAUAUCUCCAGCAAGAUUCACCUUUUUUAAAGAUAAUAGCUCUCGUCGGUGGUACCGGUGUCGGUAAAUCAUACACGGUGGAAAUUAUAAGAAAGAAUUUUUAUGAAAAAAGUAAUAACCAUUUUUUUUCUUCGCGCGCCGAUUUGUUCAUCUUGGAAAAUUUGAGAGACGAACAUUUGUUAGAUGUUAUAAAAUUUGUAAAAAUGCAUCAAAAGACAUACGACAAUCGAUACGGUACUAUAUUUGUUGUUUUUAAUGUCGAGCAGAUGAACGAUAACUCGACGCGUAGUAUAGAUCUAAAUAAAAGUAUAAACAUAAUGAAAAAUACUUUUGCCAACGCAAAUCUCGACAUUAAAAUUAUUCCUUAUGAAUCCUUGAGCGAGGAUGCUUUAGAAAAAUGCAUUAAAAAAAUUGCGAAAAAUGUUAAAUUAACUCUCUCUCAAGAUCAGAUCGUUCUUAUUAAACGACAAUUGAUAGAAAAUAAUACCGGUUGUAAAGGAGCCUAUGGCAAAAUUCAGGUGAUUGGUAGACAAUAAAGAGAUUAUACGUAA
rnacentral:lncRNA from 1 species